GAUGAAGAACGUAGCGAAAUGCGAUACUUGGUGUGAAUUGCAGAAUCCCGUGAACCAUCGAGUCUUUGAACGCAAGUUGCGUCCGAAGCCGUCAGGCCGAGGGCACGCCUGCCUGGGCGUCACACGCCGUUGCCCCCCCCGCGCCCCGCACCCAACUCUUUGGGAGCGACCGCGGGGCGGGCUGAUGAUGGCCUCCCGUGCGCUCCGCCGCGCGGUUGGCCCAAAUACCGAGUCCCCGGCGACGUGCGCCACGACGAUCGGUGGUUGAGAGACCUCUGUCGCAAGUCGUGCGCGCCCGUCGCGUCACGCGGGCUCGCAUAGCGCCUCGCGCCGCACCCGGUGCGGAGCUUUCAACGCGACCCCAGGUCAGGCGGGGUUACCCGCUGAAUUUAAGCAUAUCAAUAAGCGGAGGA
rnacentral:misc_RNA from 1 species